rnacentral:rRNA from 1 species
GAUGAACGCUAGCGGGAGGCCUAACACAUGCAAGCCGAGCGGUAUUGUUUCUUCGGAAAUGAGAGAGCGGCGUACGGGUGCGUAACACGUGUGCAACCUGCCUUUAUCUGGGGGAUAGCCUUUCGAAAGGAAGAUUAAUACUCCAUAAUAUAUUGAACGGCAUCGUUUAAUAUUGAAAGCUCCGGCGGAUAGAGAUGGGCACGCGCAAGAUUAGCUAGUUGGUGAGGUAACGGCUCACCAAGGCGAUGAUCUUUAGGGGGCCUGAGAGGGUGAUCCCCCACACUGGUACUGAGACACGGACCAGACUCCUACGGGAGGCAGCAGUGAGGAAUAUCGGUCAAUGGGUGCAAGCCUGAACCAGCCAUCCCGCGUGAAGGACGACUGCCCUAUGGGUUGUAAACUUCUUUUGUAUAGGGAUAAACCUACCCUCGAGAGGGUAGCUGAAGGUACUAUACGAAUAAGCACCGGCUAACUCCGUG